AGCAGCCGCGGUAAUUCCAGCUCCAAUAGCGUAUAUUAAAGUUGUUGCAGUUAAAAAGCUCGUAGUUGAAUUUCGGGGUCGGUAGGUUGGUCAUGCCUCAGGUAUGCACUGGUCUCACUGAUUCCUCCUUCCUGAUGAGCCGUAAUGCCAUUAAUUUGGUGUUGCGAGGAAUCUGGACUGUUACUUUGAAAAAAUUAGAGUGUUUAAAGCAAGCUAACGCUUGAAUACAUUAGCAUGGAAUAAUGGAAUAGGACGUUCGAUCCUAUUUUGUUGGUUUCUAGGAUUGACGUAAUGAUUAAUAGGGAUAGUUGGGGGCAUUAGUAUUCAAUUGUCAGAGGUGAAAUUCUUGGAUUUAUUGAAGACUAACUACUGCGAAAGCAUUUGCCAAGGAUGUUUUUCAUUAAUCAAGAACGAAAGUUAGGGGAAUCGAAGACGAUCAGAUACCGUCGUAGUCUUAACCAUAAACUAUGCCGACUAGGGAUCGGAUGAUGUUAAUUUUUAAUGACUCAUUC
rnacentral:rRNA from 1 species